GGGCCUAUAGCUCAGCUGGUCAGAGCGCACGCCUGAUAAGCGUGAGGUCAGUGGUUCAAGUCCACUUAGGCCCACCA
rnacentral:tRNA from 1 species